CUUUCUGAUUUCUUAAAUCUUUUUAGACUAUGGUGAUUGAACAGUUCUACUGUACGGCGAUUAAUGAUGUGACCAUAGGUAAAUGGUCCCCAGUCAAGCAGGGAAACUUUACCCUAAUUAACUUCGAACUUGGUGGUCCAACCGCCGAGCUAAAUUUUCAUUGUUUCUGGUCAACUUCUGAAUAUAAUUUUAUUACUUUCCUUUGUGAAUACGUAAUCCAUUGUAUAUUUUGAAAUAUUUAUUUAUAAACUUUACGUGAAUAUUGGA